rnacentral:rRNA from 1 species
AUACGUAGGGUGCGAGCGUUAAUCGGAAUUACUGGGCGUAAAGCGAGCGCAGACGGUUAUUUAAGCAGGAUGUGAAAUCCCCGAGCUCAACUUGGGAACUGCGUACUGAACUGGGUAACUAGAGUGUGUCAGAGGGGGGUAGAAUUCCACGUGUAGCAGUGAAAUGCGUAGAGAUGUGGAGGAAUACCGAUGGCGAAGGCAGCCCCCUGGGAUAACACUGACGUUCAUGCUCGAAAGCGUGGGUAGC